UACGUAGGGUGCGAGCGUUGUCCGGAAUUAUUGGGCGUAAAGAGCUCGUAGGCGGUCUGUCGCGUCUGCUGUGAAAACCCGAGGCUCAACCUCGGGCUUGCAGUGGGUACGGGCAGACUAGAGUGCGGUAGGGGAGAAUGGAAUUCCUGGUGUAGCGGUGGAAUGCGCAGAUAUCAGGAGGAACACCGAUGGCGAAGGCAGUUCUCUGGGCCGUAACUGACGCUGAGGAGCGAAAGCGUGGGGAGCGAACAGG
rnacentral:rRNA from 1 species